rnacentral:tRNA from 1 species
GCAUCCGUAGCGCAGCUGGAGAGAGUACUCGUCUACGAACCGAGCGGUCGGAGGUUCGAAUCCUCCGUGAUGCACCA